AAGGAAUUUUUUUAAAACAAAUUAUUCAUAAGAGAAAGAUCUCUCUCAUAUAUCUACUAUAUUUAGUGUAUAUAUGACACAAACAUACAUCUUAAAAUAAAUGCCUUAAUUAUAGUAGUCUGCAUGUAUGUGUGUGACUAGUUCCAUUAUACCACAGUGAAUUAAGAUAGUUAAAUGCAUCUUCAAGGCAAAUGCCUAAACAAACGGGUACUGUUUGCCAAAGUAACAGAAAAUUAAAUCAACAAAACUCAAAUACCCUUUGGGAAUUUGGCAGAUAAAGUAUAAAAUAAAGAGGGCUUACCAUAAUGCUCUACAAAGUAGAAUUAAAAUGAAAUAGAAAAAAAUUCCUACUGUCUAAUAUUGAUUUACAAAAUUGGAAAUUGAUAUUACCUAUGUUGUAAUGUAUUUUUUAUUUAUUUUAGUAAGAUUUUCCAAUUACAUUUUGAUAUGGUACCACACAGUUUUGAGAUGUGAUAUCCCUUGAAACAAAACUGAAACAUCAUACAAGGAUACAUGAGUCCUGUCAAUGAUUUCUUGAAUCCAUAUAUCAGUAAAAAUAAGACAUCUAUUACAUCUUUUUUUUUUUUUUAAUAGCCUCUUAUUUACAGGAUAUAUACAUGGGUAACUUUACAGCAUUAACAAUUGCCAAACCUCUUGUUCCAAUUUUUCACCUCUUACCCCCACCCACCCCCUUCCCUAGAUGGCAGGAUGACUAGUAAAUGUUAAAUAUAUUAAAAUAUAAAUUAGAUACACAAUAAGUAUACCUGACCAAAACGUUAUUUUGCUGUAGAAAAAGAAUCAGACUCUGAAAUAUUGUACAAUUAGCUUGUGAAGGAAAUCAAAAAUGCAGGUGUGCAUAAAUAUAGGGAUUAGGAAUUCAAUGUAAUGGUUUUUAGUCAUCUCCCAGAGUUCUUUUUCUGGGCAUAGCUAGUUCAGUUCAUUACUGCUCCAUUAGAAAUGAUUUGGUUGAUCUCGGUGCUGAGGAGGGCCUGAUCCAUCAGAACUGGUCAUCAUAUAGUAUUGUUGUUGAAGUAUAUGAUGAUCUCCUGGUCCUGCUCAUUUCACUCAGCAUCAGUUCAUGUAAGUCUCUCCAGGCCUUUCUGAAAUUAUCCUGUUGGUCAUUUCUUACAGAACAGUAAUAUUCCAUAAUUUUCAUAUACCAUAAUUUAUUCAACCAUUCUCCAACUGCUGGACAUCCAUUCAGUUUCCAAUUUUUAGCCACUAAAA
rnacentral:lncRNA from 1 species